AGUAUGUACUACAAAGGAAACAAAGAGAAUAACAAGCUAUAGAGCCAUGGAGAGUAUUUAAGUAGUAUGGCCAAAGAAGGGCUCUUUGAAGGUGUGAUGUUUGAGCUGUGAUUUGGAGCAGGAGGAGGAGCCAGCCAUGUGAAUUUCCCUUCCAAAAGGGAUAUGACUUUGAAGGAUGUCCUUUGAUGGAUGGAGCUACAGCAGCUAUUUUAAACCAAAAGGUCUGGGUGAAGUCUGAGACUCUGCUUUUCGAACAAGAUCCCAGGCUAAGUUAAUGCUGCUGGACCACCGAGCACUCUGAGCUGCAAACCUUUGAAAGACCUCAAUCAAGUGCUUCAUAUCUGCGGAUGCCUCAUAAAGAACCAUGUUCUGUUAAAGAGGAGCUCACAGAGCAGCAGAACAGAGAGCAAUAAACAAACAGCUAUAAUAAAAAUUGAUACUUGUUACUGUAGAAAUAUGGAUGCAAUGAUAUGGAGAUGCAGGAAUAAAUGCCACCAGUUUCCUGGCCCGAAUUAGCUUAGGAACACUGAGUUGAGAGUUCAUCACAUGGCAGAACCUUCUUGUCCCCAACUGAUGGAAGGGAGUUAGAAACUCAUGCCUACCCCAAGAGGACUUUCUAGUAAUUGGGCUGAGAAGAAGAAAGCUGCCGUGAAUCAAUCCUACAGACAUAAGGAAUACAUUCUGUCAGCAACCUGAAUGAACUUGGAAGUGGAUUCUUCCCCAGUCAAGCCUCCAGAUGAGAAUGCAGUCCAGCUGAAACCUCAAUUGCAGCCUGUGAGACCUGGAUCAGAGGCGCCAGUUAAGCUGUGCCUGAACUUCUUCUGCCUCAUAGAAAUACAAGAAAAUUGAGGUUCGGAUGUCCCUGUGAACAUCUCUGAUCAAUGGGAUUUGAAUAUAUCUUUCUGCUGCUAGUUUUCAAGCUGUCAUCCUGCACCAUAGAGUUUUGAAUUUGGCCAGUCUUUUAUAGAACACCAGAUACAAACAGAGUAAAUAUAUUAUUUUCUACAGAGCAAGAAAAUAACGAAGUAUUAGCUUAUAUUUUUAGACACUUUCAACUGUUGGGCCAGAUUGUGGAGAAUGGGGAAAUGACAAAUAUCAUAUUUCUGUUCCAAAAAGGACAAUAAACCAUGUAAGUAGUUCUCCUUAGGUUAGUGUACAAAGCAGGUGUGGGGGAAAAUAUGAGAAACAACCUUCUGGGUUCCAGUGAGGAAACACUUCAAAAAAUAUCAUUCGAUUAAGAGACAGCCUGCAUGAUUCAAUGAGGAGGCGGAGGUAUUGCCUUGGAAAAGCGUCAGAUAAAGAAAUACUAAAUGCCUGUAGAAGUGUCGUGGGUAUGGGGGCUAAAAACAGCUUGUGGAAUGGCAAACUUUCUGAAAAACAUGGCAACAGCAAGUGUCCAUAAAUGGCAACUUCAUUCUCUGUGGAUGAGUGGGAAACAGCAGAGGAUAAUUUUUAGAUUGCUUGUUUUUUUACGUUGGUGGAGUGAAGUGAUGCCAUUGGAAAUAUUAAGAAGGAUGAAAAUGUGUUGGUGACGAAAGCACACUUAUGAAAAUAGAAUAGCACCAAGACGUGGUAACCUGAUGGAGAUCAUUCGAUGACUAAAUAGAGAACAUUGUUGAUACCUGAAAAAUAGUGCUGUUAGCCAAUUGACCAGAAUAGUCUCCAUUUCCUCUGCAGCACACGGUGUAAAAUAGCAUUCUCCACAUCAAGAGCCCUUUUGGCAUUUCCUUCAUUAUCUUCAUAGAAAAGAAAAUCUCAGUUAACAAGAUAUCUGAAUAUUGGGAGAGUCUGGACAAUUAUAUUUCUAAUUAUUUAAUUGUGUAUCUAGCUUAUUAGAGCCUUCUAUCUGACAUACUUUGCCACUUAUCUUCAGGAGACAGAGUCUGAUGAUCACAAAAUAUAUUGUCUUAGGGUUCUUAGGUUAGCUUCCAGAAUAGGUUUUUGCCUCAACCUGCAGUCAUAUCAAUCUCUUUCAGCUUCUAUAGCCACCUUUAUUAUUCCUUGAAUGUUACAUGGACAGAGUCUUUACCUUAAUCAUCUUUAAGUUAUACACAUCUACCAUAAAACCUGCUACACUGUAAUUGCCCAAUGAAAAUCUAUUGAAUAUACAUAAAGGAGUAAAAGAGUCUUUAUUAAUCCAAAGAAAUCAUGCAGUACAGCAAGAUUUUCAAGCAUCCAUGAGACAAACAGAAAAGGAAAUUUGGACUUUUGUGAAAUAAGAUAAACAAUUAAAUAAUGCUUGGCUGCAUUUAAUAUAUAUUAAAAUAUAAUAAAGAUACUAUCAAAUUCAAGUGUAGACAUCAUUUUUUUGGAUUUUUUUCAGUACUUGCUUGGUUCUAAUGGUAAGAACCCAUUGUCUUGGAUUAUUAGGAUGGAAUCAAAUAUUUCUGCUAUUUUUCAAAAAAAUAAGAUAAAACAAGCAAUCUUUUAGCAAAGGGAAUGGCCCAGGGAAACUUUUUGAAGUCUGGGCAUGUUUUGGUGGAUACAGUUAUUUGGGAAUUUGAAAUUAAUAUCUAAUUGAGAAACAUUGCAAAAGUUUUAUUUUAUCAUGAGAUCAUAAUCACACCUACACAACACAAUAAACCCAAAUGAAUAGGGCCCUUUGUAAAAUUUCACCACAAGCUUCUAUCAAAUAAUGCUCAUUGGAUACCACCUGCUCUAUGAAAGACACUCUGGAAAGCACUGGGUGAGAGUAGGGAGAAGAAUACAAAAAUCAGAGCCCAGAAUACAGUCAAGGUGGAUACUAAAACAUUUCACAUGUGGCUAGAAUGGAAUGUUGACUAAAGUAGAUGCUCUAAGAGAAGAUCCAAAAAUUCAGUUGGAAUUCAAAAGCAGAGGAAAUCACAUCUAAUUGAAGGGAUAUCAGGCAUGACUUUCUGGAGAUUAUAUUCAAGUUGAGCUUCUUGGUUGGCUAAUAUUUUAACAGGUGAAAAGUAGGUGAAAUGUCCAGAUGUAAAGAACAUAGUGAGUACAAAUAGGCCUCAAAAGACUUCAAGGUAUCCAUGGAGAAUAGCUUAUGGUUCAGUUUGGCCAAAGUGGUUAGUUUUCAAACUUUGGUUAUAGUAAAACUCCUUUUAUUUCUUCUCCAAAUGAAAGAUUACGCUGAACUCCAAAAUAUAACAUAAAUCAAAAUAACCAAGCUGCUCUAGUUGAAGGGCACGUGGGGGUGAAUGUGUGUGUGUGCGCGUGUGUGCAUAUGUAUGUAUGUGAUAGAGAGAAGACAACCUGAGGGGGAAUGUAUUAAUGUCCUACGGCUGUCAUAAAAAAUUAUCACAAACUUGGUAGCUUAAAACAAGAGAAAGUUAUCCUCUCACAGUACUGGAGGCUUGACAUACAAAAUCAGGGUGCUGGAAGGGCGAGGCUCUCUCUGAAGCCUCUAGAGAAGAACCUUUCUUUGCUUUCUCCAGCUUCUGGUGGCCAGCAAUUUUUGGUGCUCCUUGGCUUGUGGCAACAUGACUCCAAUCUCUGCCUCCAUUUUCACAUGGCGUUACUCCUGUGUCUCUCUGGGUCUCUACAUCCAAAUCUACAUUUCCUCCUUUCAUUAAGACAUUAGUUAUAUUGGAUUUGGAACCCAUCCUAAUCCAAUACAAUCCCAUCUUAACAAAUUAUAUCUGCAAAGACUCUAUUUCCGAGUAAGGUCACAUUUACAGGAACCUAGGGUUAGAACUCAAUAUCUCUUUUGGGGAGACCCAGUUCAACCCAUGACAGGGGGAUUUUUGAGAUUCUGAGCUCCCCUCACUGCAACUUCUCCUCUCCCCUAAUGUGACCAUUGAGGCACCUCAGCUGAGCCUUAGAACUGCUCACCCAGGACACAGAAAACCACUGGGCUAGUGCCAUCUUCCCACAUUACCUGAUCAGGAGAACAAACUAAGGUCUUAUAUACAGAACCCUGGAGCUCCACCCUAACCUACUGAGUCAGAAUCUUGGAGUCUGUAUUUCUAUCAAGUGUCACAGGGCAGUCUUAUGAUUGAUUCAUCAAGUUCAUAAUAAAUGCUAAGCUAGAGCAGAGAUCCAUUUUGAAAAACAGAUUGAAAAGGCAGAUUAUUGAGGAUCUUGAUAUCAGGCCGAGGAACAGUAUCUUCAAGGAGAGUUUGUGGUGAAUGUCUUCCUAGUGCUCAUGAAAUCACACUGCAUUCAGGUCUGCCCCUACAUUAAUACAUGGGACAAGUCCCAAGAACAAGUUUACAGGGGUUCCUCCUCACCAGGGAGGCAGCUCUGGUGUCUUUGGGUUCCAAGGCUCCCCAUCCUAUGGGAGGGCUCCAGGUCACAGGGGUGAGGGCAGCCCGUGUGCAGGGUGACCUGCAAGGCAGUGGGCCCGGGCAGGCCCUGCAGGCAAGGUUGCUGCAGGCCUCCUUUUGCUGGCUGAGGAAGAGAUGCCUGCCACAGCAGCUGCCUUGUGUUUCCUCAUUAGGGCUGCCUCCACCUUGAGCACACGUGUGGGAGCGAGCGAGGGAAGCCAGCCUAGGAGGAGAGUUGCCGGGCCUAAUGGGCGGAUGGGCCGCAGGGGAGGGAAGGCAUGCUGUCGGUGACUCAGAGUCAGCAAGAGGUGGAUUUCGCCAGCAGGAAGUUGGAUUCAGGAGGCACUGCCGGGUACUUUUCCAUUCUUCCCUCCCCACCACCAGACCUCUCCCCACACCCCUCCCCACCUUGAUCCUGUGGUUCAGGAUGCCAAAAUGUGCAGGCCAAACCCAGCUUGUUUCCUAGAGCUGCACAAACUGUUUGGACUGACUUGAGCUGGUCAAAAUAAAACAACCAAAGAACCUGUCAAAAUCCAAUGAAUAAUGUACAACCCUGCUUUAGUGCAGGUGGUUGUUUUGACUGAUGGAUUAGACCAGGUGUUUGUGACCAACAACCACUCACUAUUUCCUACCAUCAGUAAUAACCUGCUCCAAUCAGGAAAAGGGAAAUAAAAAUGUAUGAGUGAUGCUCUUUAAAAAUAUAAGUCGUGUCACCAAAAUCUCACAGCAAAUCUUGGAGGACGCUAUCCCAUAUUAUAGAUGAGGGAGCAGAGGCUUGGGGAACUCUCCCUUUCUCCUAUACAGUCAGUAAGUUGCAGAGCUGUAAUUUAUAUCCCACUCUGUCUGACUCUAAAGCUCACAAAUGCCCAAAUCAUCCAGGCUCCCUCCCAAACAGGUCCUUCACAGCACUGACUCUGCUGUGCCUCCUCCUGUACCCAUCUAAGCUCAGAUUCUUUUUUCUCACUUAUAAUGGCUUCUCCUUUCUUCUUCACCUCUCUCUGUUUUAGCUGCUCUCCAGAGCUCUGCAGUAAGUGAGCAGACUUAACGUCUGGAAUCAGGUGGUGAAAAUUCUAUUGUCACCCUGAUAGUGGGAAUCGAACAAGUUGUUUAAUUUCUCUGUCUUUCUUAUUAAU